UGCUGCCUUUACCUGUAAUAGUUGUUAAACUUCAGUGAGGUCAGCUGCUUUCCUCUUUUUUGAGAUGGGCAGUCUCAGAGAGUGAAGAACACAGCAACAGGCUACCUAUCUCUCAACACGCUGUGACGUAGUGCUGUCGUUUGCACUGGCCUGAACUGGACCUGUGGCAGCCCUGGGCAGUUUAAUCAUUUGGCAUCCCUUGGAAUGGAUCUUCAUGAAUGAUUUUUUCAAGAUACGUUUAAGAUAAAAGGGCUUAUGUUCCCCUAGAGAUCUUGAUUGCUCUGGAUGUGGGAGAGAAAAGAAACAAUUUUGAGUCCUUUCAGACUUGUUUCCACUGGGGAUGUCAAGUCAUUGAACAGUGUAAAACCAGCGGAGGAGACAUUCAGACCAUAGCAACAGGUUCUGGAAAUUUUUCAUCACCUCGAAACCCUCAAGUGAGAAUAAGAAGCAUUCUGUUAGCUGGACCCCAAUGAGCUCCAUCCCCAGUCUUCCUUAUAUGAAGGGAGAUCAAACCCUUUACAUCCUUUAACGCCAAUGGCAUACUGACAGAAUGGAUAUUGUGAAGGCUCCUGUCCUUCUGAUAAUUUGGCUUCUUCUUUGGGGGCUCUCUGACUUUGGUCAGUAAGUGCAGUCUGAGAAUCUGAAAUAUGUGUGGGGAGAGAAGUGGAAGGUCAGAGACCAUGACAAUCUCAUCCAGCAGGAGUCCACUUCAGUGCAUCUACUGGGGGCAGUGAAGGAUGUUGAUGAAUGUUAGCAUGGCUGCUCCUGAAACCAAAUGCUUUCAUUGGGAUGUAAUAUUGCUUUUUUUCCGUGACUCUGCGGGGUUUCUGUGGCAUUGGGCUUUGUUUGAAAAUUCAAAGAAUUCUCCAAUGGCAAGCUUGGCUGUUCUAAAAAAUAAUCAAUUAAAAAUCCAAGUGCUUUAGACACUGUGAAAGCAAGUCACAAAUGUUCCUAGUUUGCAUUUGAAAAAAAAGAAGAGAGAGUGAAUGUUUUUUAGUACCAAGGACAGCGACAGCUGUCACCUAAUGGGGUGAAUUCCUCUCACAAAGAAACUCUAAGCAGUGGAAAAUGCCAAGGUCUAACACUGUGUUAGCAGGUUAAACCAAAAUAUAAUAUGUUCUAAAUAUUUUAUUGUAUGAUCGGUUUGAUUUGAUUGCUUUGUAGGGGCUGCAGAGAUGUGGAGACAAAGGUGAUUGCCUUUCUUUAGGUGCUCUAGUCUUAUCAGUUAUGUUAGAAUUUCCACAAUUUGAUCCUACUGACUUCCCGGAAAGGUUUUCCCAAAGUGUAAAAUGUUUUGUUUUUACUUAUGCAUUGGGUAUAUCAUCCUCAUCUAGCUGUCUCAUUCAUCACUGCACCAGCUUUAUCAACACCUGGAAGUAAUAUUAUGCACACUGUACAGCCGUAUUUCUGUAGUCUUCUCUGGAUGUGAAUGGUGAGAAACAUUCUUUCUGACAAAUCUCUUCAGAAAAUAAGCAUGGAACAUAUCACCUUUGCCUGGAAGGUGAAAGAGGUUGGGAAGAGGGUCCUUAGCUGUAUGUUCCAGUCAAGCUUUGCUCCUACCAUGGGAGGUGAGGAUGCUGCAGAACCCUGGGAAAAUCAUGGCCCUUUCCUUGAGCAGAAAAUGUGGCUCUAGCCCCAGAAAGCAGUCCCUCACCACACACUGCACCAGCUCUGCUUUCUCACAAGGCAGACAGGGAAGCCAACAGCAAUCAUAAGAGCUGACGUUUAUUGAGUAUUUAGGAUGUGCCAGGCACUCUAGUGUUUUGAGCAUAUUAACCCAUUUAAUCCCCACAACAACCUUUCUAUAGAUGGAGCAACUGAGGCAUAGAGAAGUUCAGACGUGCAUCCAAGGUUACAGAGCUGGUAACAGCAAAAGGCAUUUGAAUCCAAGCAGUCUGUUCUAGCUGUUACUCUUCAAAUCUUACUGCAUAUGCAUUGAACGUCAUCAUCAACGUGGAACAUAGAGGUGCUAAAAGGAAAGGUCAUGAAUUAAUCUCGUAUUAUGAAAAUACACAUCAAGUACUAGAUACAUUAAUAAAUAACAGCAUCUAAGAAAAACAAUAAAGACACUUGACCAACAGAAUGAGUCAGGUAAAAUAAUAUUGUCAUUGCUGUUGUGUGUGUAUAUGUAUGUUUAAAAGAGAAAGAUAUGGUUCAGUUCUUGUCACAUUUGUUUUCCAGUAUAGUCUCAGCUUUCCUUUACAAUGAACCCUUAAGUAACAGAGACGACAGCUGACAUUCAGUCAGUUUUAUACUCAUUGGGAGAACUUUCCCCUUUCCUUUCACUUCAUUUUGCAUAUUUAUUUGCAUAUAUCUUCAUAAGCAAUGAAUAUGUGCCUUUUCCUUAGACCUAGUUAUUUUCUUUUUUGUGACACGGGUCUUGCUCUG